GACCGCUCGGUUCCGAGCCGCUGGGGAUUCGUCCCAGGCGAGUGCCCGCCAGAGUUAAACCAAACUCUUGUUAUUAAACCGGUCGUCUGAGUUAAAAUUUUGAAUAAAUCAAAACUUUCAACAACGGAUCUCUUGGUUCUCGCAUCGAUGAAGAACGCAGCGAAAUGCGAUAAGUAAUGUGAAUUGCAGAAUUCAGUGAAUCAUCGAAUCUUUGAACGCACAUUGCGCCCCUUGGUAUUCCGAGGGGCAUGCCUGUUCGAGCGUCAUUACACCACUCAAGCUAUGCUUGGUAUUGGGUGCCGUCCUUAGUUGGGCGCGCCUUAAAGACCUCGGCGAGGCCACUCCGGCUUUAGGCGUAGUAGAAUUUAUUCGAACGUCUGUCAAAGGAGAGGAACUCUGCCGAUUGAAACCUUUAUUUUUCUAGGUUGACCUCGGAUCAGGUAGGGAUACCCGCUGAACUUAAGCAUA
rnacentral:rRNA from 1 species